UUUUUAUUUUCCUCUCACAGACAUCAGGAUUAGGUUAAAACUUUCAAUGAAAGACAUGAAGAUGAAAUAGCCAUGAGGUCUCCGUUUCAAAUUGCAGAGGAGAAAAUCUGGUUGACCCUCCUGUACCUCUUCCCUUAUGUUUGAAUUUGGAGAAAAAUCGCAAGAAUCUCUCCGGGGAGGGAGAUUACAGGGAUUGGGCAUGGGAGAGGCGGGGAGGACUCACCAAUUUUAAAGAUAUGAAGACUGGAGUGAGCCCUCAUCAGCCAGAUGGACUGUUUCAUCUCUUCCGAAAUAGAAACCUCCAACCUACUCAGCCCUUUUGAGGCCAAAAAGAUACCCAUGGGCCCUCAAAAACCAACAGUCUCUACACCAGACUAAAACAAGUUUCCUAAAAGCAUUUUCCUUUUGGGCUCAUUUUUAUUACCUCUCCAUCCCAUGGUCCGAAGAUAAGAAUAAUUUGCAUAUAACAGUCAGUAUUAAAAUUUUUGAUUUGCAAUGGAUCAAUGAAUGACGAGGUCAGCCCAUCUGUGACUGAACCAAUCAAUGAAUGAGAAAUGGGUAGGUGAUAUUUACUGUCUU
ensembl:lncRNA PAFAH1B2P2 PAFAH1B2 pseudogene 2